rnacentral:rRNA from 1 species
GACGAACGCUGGCGGCGUGCUUAACACAUGCAAGUCGAACGGAAAGGCCCUGCUUUUGUGGGGUGCUCGAGUGGCGAACGGGUGAGUAACACGUGAGUAACCUGCCCUUGACUUUGGGAUAACUUCAGGAAACUGGGGCUAAUACCGGAUAGGAGCUCCUGCUGCAUGGUGGGGUUGGGAAGGUUUCGGCGGUUGGGGAUGGACUCGCGGCUUAUCAGCUUGUUGGUGGGGUAGUGGCUUACCAAGGCUUUGACGGGUAGCCGGCCUGAGAGGGUGACCGGCCACAUUGGGACUGAGAUACGGCCCAGACUCCUACGGGAGGCAGCAGUGGGGAAUAUUGCACAAUGGGCGGAAGCCUGAUGCAGCAACGCCGCGUGCGGGAUGACGGCCUUCGGGUUGUAAACCGCUUUCGCCUGUGACGAAGCGUGAGUGACGGUAAUGGGUAAAGAAGCACCGGCUAACUACGUG